GUGGGGAAUCUUCCACAAUGGACGAAAGUCUGAUGGAGCAACGCCGCGUGAGUGAAGAAGGGUUUCGGCUCGUAAAGCUCUGUUGUCGGGGACGAAUGUGCAGUAUUUGAAUAAAGUACUGCAAUGACGGUACCUGACGAGGAAGCCACGGCUAACUACGUGCCAGCAGCCGCGGUAAUACGUAGGUGGCAAGCGUUGUCCGGAAUUAUUGGGCGUAAAGGGAGCGCAGGCGGGAAAGUAAGUCGGUCUUAAAAGUGCGGGGCUCAACCCCGUGAUGGGAUCGAAACUAUCUUUCUGGAGUGCAGGAGAGGAAAGUGGAAUUCCUAGUGUAGCGGUGAAAUGCGUAGAUAUUAGGAGGAACACCAGUGGCGAAGGCGACUUUCUGGACUGUAACUGACGCUGAGGCUCGAAAGCCAGGGGAGCGAACGGGAUUAGAUACCCUAGUAGUCC
rnacentral:rRNA from 1 species